AGAGUUUGAUUCUGGCUCAGAACGAACGCUGGCAGCGUGGAUUAGGCAUGCAAGUCGAACGGGAUCCGGGGCUAUAGCAAUAUAAUCUCGGUGAUAGUGGCGGAAGGGUGAGUAACGCGUGGGUAAGCUACCUCGAAGUUGGGGACAACCAGGUGAAAAUCUGGCUAAUACCGAAUGUGGUCUCUUGGCGCAUGUCAGGAUGACUAAAGGCGGGGAUCCUUUUGGACCUGUCGCUUUGAGAGGCACCCGCGUGCCAUCAGCUUGUUGGUAGGGUAACGGCCUACCAAGGCUUACGGCUAGCCGGCCUGGGAGGGUGACCGGCCACACUGGGACUGAGACACUGCCCAGACUCCUACGGGAGGCUGCAGUCGAGGAUCAUUCGCAAUGCGCGAAAGCGUGACGAUGCGACGCUGCGUGGAGGAUGAAGGCCCUAGGGUUGUAAACUCCUGUCAUGAGGGAAAAGCCGUCCUGCCCAUAACAUGGGCGGGACCCGAUGGUACCUCAAGAGGAAGCCACGGCUAACUCUGUGCCAGCAGCCGCGGUAAUACAGAGGUGGCGAGCGUUGUUCGGAUUUACUGGGCGUAAAGGGUGCGUAGGUGGUUUCGUAUGUCGGAUGUGAAAGCCCAUGGCUCAACCGUGGAAUUGCAUUUGAAACUGCGAGACUAGAGUGCAGGAUGGGGGAGCGGAAUUCUUGGUGCAGCGGUGAAAUGCGUUGAUAUCAAGAAGAACACCGGUGGCGAAGGCGGCUCUCUGGAAUGCUACUGACACUGAGGCACGAAAGCUGGGGGGAGCAAACAGGAUUAGAUACCCUGGUAGUCCCAGCCGUAAACGGUGCACACUUGGUGUGGGGAGAUUUAACCCUCUCCGUGCCGGAGCUAACGCGUUAAGUGUGCCGCCUGGGGAGUACGGCCGCAAGGCUAAAACUCAAAGAAAUUGACGGGGGCCCGCACAAGCGGAGGAGCAUGUGGCUUAAUUCGAUGCAACGCGAAGAACCUUACCAGGGCUUGACAUAUACCUGCAAGCCCCCUGAAAGGGGGGCCGCCUUCGAGGGUGGUAUACAGGUGCUGCAUGGCUGUCGUCAGUUCGUGCCGUGAGGUGUUGGGUUAAGUCCCGUAACGAACGCAACCCUUGUGACUAGUUGCCACCGGCGGUGAUGAGCCGUCGAGCACUCUAGUCAGACUGCCCGUACAAGCGGGAGGAAGGUGGGGAUGACGUCAAGUCAGUAUGGCCCUUACGCCCUGGGCUGCACACGUGCUACAAUGGACGGUACAAUGGGAGGCAAUACCGCAAGGUGGAGCAAAUCCACAAAACCGUCCUCAGUCCGGAUUGAAGUCUGCAACUCGACUUCAUGAAGUUGGAUUCGCUAGUAACGGCGCAUCAGCUACGGCGCCGUGAAUACGUUCCCGGGCCUUGUACACACCGCCCGUCACAUCAUGAAAGCCGUCUGCACCCGAAGUCGCUGUACCAACCCGCAAGGGGGGAAGGUGCCGAAGGUGUGGGUGGUGAUUGGGAUGAAGUCGUAACAAGGUA
rnacentral:rRNA from 1 species